GGCCUACCAGAUGCAACCAUCAGUUGUUUUCCUGGAUGAGAUUGAUGCUCUUGCUCCUGUAUGCAACAGCAAAAAAGACCAGGUUCAUAGCUCUGUUGCAGGAACACCUCUGGCGCUAAUGGAUGGCUUCACUGACGGAAAGGUUGUGGUAAUCAGAGCCAUCAGCAGACUGGAAUCUGUAGAUCCUGCUUUACAAAGACCUGGACACUUCGUGUGAGAAUUCCACUUCAACUUGCCAAACAACGAGAGACUUGGACUAAGAUGUAAAGCACACUGCACAGAUGCAAGGCUUGGGACCCUUCUAGCUUAUUGGCAACAGCUAAGCAAAAAAAUGGACAAGAAAAGGGAUUUUCAAAAGUCACACAGGAGACUGGACCCUGAAGCCAUUGGACAACUUUCUUGAAGAGCUGGCUGUGCUAUAAAGGACUGUGUUAGUGAAAUAUCUACAGUUAACAAAAACUUUCAAGGAGGAAAAAAAUCCAAACACCAAACGAUCCCACGGUGCAUAAAAUUCCAGGCAGGACUUUCAAAUGCACUUCAGGAUCCACAGGAAGCAAGAAAUUAUCUUCUCUAGGAGUUGGAACAUGGCACAUGACAACAAGCCAACCUGUUUUCUGUGCUACACUGAGCCUGCUCUGAAGGCUUUCCAGGGGGAGGUUAGGAGCUAUUCCCAAAGUCACUGUUGGCUUUCCAUCCUUCUGAGCUGCCCAAGAGAUGUAAAACAUGGAGCAGGAAGGCCUCAUAGGAGUGUCUGUGCUUGUAUGACAGCAGGUGGUUGGCCAGGAACAUGCUAUGCGUCAAUCACUGCAGGACAUAAUUGAUGAAAAAAGUGUUGCCCAGGUUUUGGAGGCCACCUUCAACAUCCCCCUUGCCCUGCCAAGCCACGGACCUCUUCUGUAGAAGAUCCCAUUCUGGCAGAGCCAUUUCAAGAUGGAGAAGGACACUCACGGAGGAGCACCACCAUUGCAAUGGUUGCAAUGCCUUGGUUUUGGGUCCGUUCUUUGCAUGCUCAAACUCUCUGCAGAAAUCAGAAGCAAUUUAAUUUUCCCACACUCCUCAGUGCAGCCUCUUGCUGCCUACCCUAUUCCUGCAGCGACUUCCUGCUGAGCCCCAUCUUUGUGUCUUCCAGGAGCUCACCCGCAAAUUUUCUUCAUCUUCUGGAUUUCUCAUUCCCACAACAUCUUCCAUAAAGAUCUGCACUCAACCCAGCUUUCCCACACCAGCACUCUGUGUCUCUUGGGACUCAGCGCCUGCUCCAGGGUGCAAGCCUGGAGUAACAAGGGUGGUCUGAGGCAGGGGUGUCCCUGCAGUCUCCUUAUGGCUCCAGUCCCAUCCUGUCACGUUCAGGUAGCACAUGAGAGGACACAGCACUAGAAACUGGAAAUUAGAUCAAGGUGCUCCAGCCCCAGCUGUUCCUGGACAGGGACAAUUCUUGUCCUCCCUGUCCACAAGAAGAGGCAGUGCAUGGCAUUAAAAAGCCACUAUGGAAUGGUCCUGGAGUGACUGGGAGAGACUGAAGGCAACAGCAGAGACACAAGCUGACACAGGAGCUUCUCCCAGGAUGUUGAUUCCAACGCAGGGCCCCAGCAUCAGGGUGACCUCAACCAUAGGGACCCCAACAGCCCAUGCUUGGAACCCCAUGCUACAUCCCAACCUACUGACACCCCUCACACAUACACACCCCUUUGGGGACCAGACCCUGGCAAGCUCAUCCCAGCACCCUGUGCCUGCUGAGCCAGCAUUCCUGAGACCUCCCACCCAACCAGCACUGUUCCACCACUGUGCCCCUGCCUUAAAUCAGUAAAUGCUAGACUGAUGCCAGAGGGUUCCGUGUUUCCUGGGUGCCCCCAUGCACUAGUAAGUGUCCCCUGGUGCCAAGUCCAGUCAGAACACACCCAUGUCGUGAUGGGUUUGUGUGUCCUAUGGAUCUGCAUGUCCAAAACUAGCACACAUCUCCAGAGAUGGAAGGACUGAUGAAUGAGAAAUUAAGUAAUUUUUUUAUCACCUGUCAUUCUAUAAAGUUACAAGAUUUCACCUGGUGAUCAUCUUUCUCUUUGCUCUUUUGGGUUUUUUUUCCCAGUGUUUGUGGUUUUGGCUCUUCUCCAGUUCUCUUCCAUUUCCAAUGCUUCCUGUGCUGCUUCCUGUACUACUGCUGCUCCUUUUUCUCUUUUUCUUGCUGCCUUGACUCUCCAGAGCUGGCACUGCUACUCUGCUUUCUAGCUUGACUCUCCAAAGGCUGAGGCUACAUUUUUCUGCACUCAAAAAUUAAAUUACUGUAAUUCAGUCAUCCUCUCCCCAGGUUUUUCCUCCCAAAUUUGGCUUGGGUCUCUUUUUUUAACUCUGCAUAUGCUUACAUUAAAACUUCUUUCAGCUGCUGACAUAAUGCCUGACAGCCUGUGAAAGGUUCUGCUUGAAGGCAGGACAGCUGCUGCUUUGUGAGUGUAGAACACACCAGAAGGAUCAGUCUGCUUCCACUCCCUUCUAGCCCAUGAUCUACCAGACCUAUUGGUGGAUUUCAACUGGUAUAUACUGGCCUCUACUGGUACCUGACACCCACUUUUAAUGUUUGUUGUCCAAAUCUGUGUGCUCACUGACUGCACUGUGUUACUGAGCAUGACUCUGACUGAUCAGAAUACUGACAAUAGAAAUGUUAUAGAAGUUUAAGAGGAACACUUUAACUCCAGCAGUUGUGUGUCUUUUAUAUUCCCAAUAUGCAAAUUUACUCACUGAAAAGGUCCCUUUGUUUUUUCAGCAGAGAGAGAUGUUCUUCGGAUUGGAGGAACGCUGUUCCAAUAGCUGUCAAUAAUUAGAAUCAUUGUUGAUGAAAGUUUUUAGCCAAACUAAGGAAGUUUUGGGGGUUACAAUCCACUAUAACCCCCCACCUAUAAUUAAUGGAUGAAUAUGAUCAGGAAUUGAGAGCAUAAAGCUAUCAACAGUGCCAGAAAUUUCUGGUACACAGCAAUACUGUCUGGUUUGGGGAUUUCACUGGUGUAACCUUUGAAGAUGUUGAACUGGCUGGGUCUAAUGUUUCAACCAGUCACUUUUCCACUCUCCAGAACAGUGAAGAGUAACCAAUCUCCAGGUUAAUGAAUAAACCACAUUUCAAAGCACUCAAAAUUAAACUAAACACUGAGAUUUUUGAAGACUAAAUCUCUCCAUAGCUACACCACCAGAAGGAGGAGGUGACAAUUUUCCUUCUGUAGAUGGUUAAUAGAUGAACUAAGAAAAUAGGUCAGACUAAAACAAAUAAUUUUUGACAGCUAGAAAUGAAUUUUCCUUUCCUGUUGUUUGCCUGAACCUGCAGGUUCAAUUGCAGGACAAUGUUGUGUGCUCACAACACCUCACCAGGUUGAGGAUCCUUGUAAAAUCAUAUAGAGACAGUUGACAGUGGCACCUCUGCCUCACCUCUGCAGCUCGAAUACCUUUUCAUCUACUGCCACUUAAAUGGAGGCUUUUUGGAUUUCUAACCCUCCCCUGCCUGUCUUCAGAACACCUUUGCUUAAAGAAAUGGUCUAAGUCCAAUGGGUUCAUAUUUUCUAUCACAUUACCUCAGCCACUAACUUCUCUCUGAGUGAAAUUGCUGGCUAGAAGUAAAGUCAGGAAUUCAGGCCAGUAGCACUGACAUCCCACAUCAUAAAAUGGUUCAUCAAGAGAAGACUACUGUGAGAGGGUGGGAGAUGGGAUGUGUUUAUUACUUGAUAAAACUGCAGGCAUUUAAAAAAUUAAUUUAUCAUUCAUUUUACUUGCAUUGGGUUUACAGUCCUGGAAAAGUGUCAUUGUCACAGAGGUUACAGGUAGGGCUGGCUCCUAUGCCUCAAAGGCUCUAGAAACCCACCAUCUCUCUCAAUGAUGUUAGGACCAUUUAUUCAGCCAUCUCCUAUUUUGGGGGAAAACAAAACAAAACACAUCAGGAUGCAGAACCAGGAAAAAAAAAAAAAAAAAGUCCUUUUUAUGUGUUGAUAACUACAAGUCUGACACAGCAGGCUCAGCAGGGACUAGCAACUGAAGGGGCCUGAUCUGACCUAAGCAGAAAACGUAAAGUAACUUUUCAGCUAAUGAAUUUGAUACAGCUAAAUAUUGGAAAUAAAGACCACCACUCCAAGCAAAAAGUUCCCUGUAGAACUGUAGUAACAUUAUUAUAUAAGCCAACAGAAAUAUUCAGUCUUCUUUUCUUAAUCAGUUACCAGCCAAUGAA